AUCAUGGCUCAGAACGAACGCUGGCGGCAUGCCUAACACAUGCAAGUCGGAACGGGAUCCUAGCUUGCUAGGUGAGAGUGGCGGACGGUGAGUAACACGUGGGAAUCUGCCUUUUGGUCGGAUACCGCGGGAAACUGCGGCUAAUACCGAAUGCCCUCGUGAGAGGAAAGAUUUAUCGCCAGAAGAGGAGCCCGCGUCCGAUUAGGUAGUUGGUGGGGUAAAGGCCUACCAAGCCGACGAUCGGUAGCUGGUCUGAGAGGAUGAUCAGCCACACGUGGGACUGAGAUACGGCCCAGACUCCGUACGGGGAGGCAGCAGGGGGGGAAUAUUUGGACAAUGGGGGCAACCCUGAUCCAGCAAUGCCGCGUGAGUGAUGAAGGCCUUAGGGUUGUAAAGCUCUUUUGCCAGGGAAGAUGAUGACUGUACCUGGAGAAUAAGCCCCGGCUAACUUCGUG
rnacentral:rRNA from 1 species